GCCUCCAAGCUUUGAAGUUCAGCAUCUACUUUAGGACGUAGUGCAUAGGGCACUGGACGUGCUUUAUGAAAUCUCGCCGUCGCUGUUUCAUUUGAUUCAAUUUUCGCCUUCAUGCCUUUAAGUUUACCAAUGCCCUUUCCAAACACUUUUGCAUUAGCAUUCAGGAGCUGUGACAAUCUUUGGUCAGAGCUACAGUUUGUGCUGUUAAGGCCUGUUGAUGAUGUGUUCAGGGCUUUGAUGGUAUGCCAGUCAAGCUGGAUUUUUCUCAACCACUCCCGUCCAAAAAGAGUGGGCCUCCACUUUUCAACACAUAAAUCUGAAUCUACCUUCAGUUUGCCUUUAGGAGACACCUUUUCGCCUGUGCACGUCUUUAACAUGACUGAGGUCUUUUCUAACGGUAGCUUUAAAAACAGUCUGUUGUAGACAGCUUCAGAAAUCACAGACAAAGCUGAGCCUGUAUCCAGCUCCAUUUUCAGUUUUACACCAGACACAUUUGUUGUUAUCCAUAUUAUUUUCCUGUCUAUUUCAGUCAUGCUAUGCAGUUCUAGGCAUGACAGAUCAUCUUCGUCAGAGCCUGUGUUCUCUGAUUUGUUUUCACAUUCAGACACUUUGUGCACUUGUUUAGUUUUGUAUUUGAAACCUUUGUCUUUACCCGGUUUUCCAUAUUGGCUGUGCUUUUUGUCUGUUUCACACACUCUUUCUACGUGGCCUUGUCUGUGACACCUUCUACAGACUUUUUCCUUGAACCAACAAUCAUUUGCAUCAUGAGAGGAUUUACCACAUCUAUAACAUUUCUGCCUUUUUGCACCAUUUAGGGACAUUUUGUGCAUUUCAUUUUCUACAGUCUUCUUUUGUAGCCCAGAUGCAUCCGUGGCUGCUGUUUCCAUUGAAAUGGCAAUGGCCUGAUAUUCUCAGAAAUAUUUUAAUUAUUUUGAUUUAAUUUGAUUGAUUAAGCCUAAGCCCCAAUAUCAGAGUCCUGAUAUUGGAUUCAUAUAGAGAAUUUAAACAGGUGAUUGGCUCAUCCUUUAAAAAUCUCUUCUGUUUGCAGCAGAAAAUGUUGUGAUUUACAAGCAGGGAAUAUUAAUAAUUGCAGUACUUCUAUUAUUAACUGUAAAUAUUAUGUUUACAGGCUGUGAGCUGGUGAAGACAGGGGUAGAGGGUGUGACUGUGUUCACAGGAGAGUCUGUAGUUCUGCCCUGCGUCUGCACUGACCUACAGGACAAACCAAAGUCUGUAAAAUGGCAGUUUAAUAGAAUCAGCCACUUUCAGGAAAUUUACCCUGAACAGACUGGACGUCACAGAAACAGAGUCAAACUGGUCAGUAACAACACUCCAGGAAACCUCUCUCUACUCAUAUCAGACCUGACUGAAGAGGACCAGGGAGACUACAGAUGUUCUGUACAGGCUGAUAGCAGAGAUGUCAGAUUAUCUGUUAAAGUAGGAAGAAGAGAAACUUCAACACACUCGAGGAAAACAGACACAACACCUCCAUCAGAACCGCCUCAGAGUAAAACAACAAACUCUCCACCUGCAUCAUCCUCAACAACCCUGGAACAAGAUAAACAGCAAACAACCAGCAGCCUCCCUCUGGUUUUUGGCAUUCUGGGAGUUUUACUGCUGGUGAUAUCCGGACUAGUGGCAUAUAUUUGUUGGAGACGCAAAGGUACAACACACACACACGCACAAAUACACACACACACACACACACACACACACACACACACACACACACACACACACACACACACACACACACACACACACACACACACACACACACACACACAAAACAGAUUCUGAGAUUGAUGAACUGAAACCUGUAGAAGCAGCAGCACUUCUGUAAGUGUCUCUGGAUAAGGAGAAUGAAAUUGUGUAGUUUCCACUAGAGGUGUGAUUUCUGAGGUCUUUUCUCUUUAGGAGGAAGAU